UAUAUAUCAUUAAAGUUGAUUCAAUGGCAAACACCAAAAAUACAAGAUGUAGGGAAAAAGAUUCUUUAUUUUAAAAAAAACAUGUGAAAUAGAGAUAAUCAUAAAAGCAAGCAGUGAAUAAACAGAAUGAACUAAGAUUUCCUAUGAAGAUUAAGCAGAGGCAGAGUGCGAAACAUAGAAGCUUUCUUGAAUCAUACUGCACUGACUUCUGGUAGAAAUGAGUUACUUUAGUGACAAAGAACGACGUAGUAACUUCAUAGGAAACAGAUAAUCAUGUUCAAAAUUAGAUUGUGUAGAACAAUGAUCAGAAAAGCAUCAAGUGUCAAUUGCAUUAACAUAAUCCCUCAAAGGUCAAACAGAUACUCUCAAUACAGAUCAAUUUUCAUAUGUCAUGACAGAGUUCACCAUGAUUUCCAGUGGGCGCAACUUGAAAUGAAGCAAAAUGAAGUACGACCCCAAUUAAUAGCUCAACAGUUCAGGAGAAAGUCAUCGUAUUUGAUCACAUAUUCACGUAACACAGUGAUCGCAAUUAAGCACCCCUUGAACAUUAUCUCUCCCUUAACCAAGGACGUCUAUAGAUAAUCUAACCAACAACGCCAAAAGAACACUUCCUCCAUUUUAAUUUAUAUGCAAUGUUUGACCAACAUGGAAUUGUAAAAUACUUAUCUUUAAUUAUGUAUUAAGGUGGUGGUAGUGGGAAAAAAAUUAUAUUACUGAUAGUGCCCAAAAUGUUAAUAGAACAUGUUGAAAAGUUAGUUUGAAAGCGAAAACAUCAUAUUAAAGUUUAGAAUUGAACAAGUUAAUGGACUUGUAUUCUUGGAAGAUCUGAAACAACAACAACAACAACCAAGUAUAAUCCCACUAGUGGGGUCUGGCGAGGGUAGUGGGUACGCAGACCUUACCCCUACCCAGGAUAGAGAGGUUGUUUCCGAUAGACCCUCAGCUCCCUCUCUCCAAGAACUACCCACCUUACUCUUGGGGUGACUCGAACUCACAACUUAUUGGUUGGAAGUGGAGGGUGCUUACCACUAGAGUAACCCACUCUUGGAAGAUCUGAAAGUUGAAAAAAAUAGAAUAGUGUAAAAACAUUUUGGAAUAACCUCAAAUAGUCAUAAAAAUUGAAACAUCUGGAGUAAUUCAUUCUAUGAUAAAUGGUGGAGUCGAAGUUUAUGGAUCAAACAUAUAUGAUAUUAAACUUCGGCAAUAUGAGAAUAUUACUGCUAGGAUUUUCAUUUAAAGACUGAUAAAGUUGAAACUACCGGCUAGCUCUUUCUAGACUCCCACUUAAUAUGUGGUAAGCUACAAUGAUGGAUCUAAAUCCCAAAAGCAAUCCAUAUCAGGAUUUUCUAUCUUAGAGGCUAUUUAUGUAUUUUCCUUGUUCUUAUACCAUGGUAAAGUACCUUUGCCAAAAUUGUUUCCCCUUCUCAUUGAGUCACCAGUCCAAUUUAGCAGCUUCUAUCAAAUUUAUGAAAAUGGACAAAAAGAAAACUACAAAUCGACUACAUUUGCACUAUUACACUUGCAAUUUGGCAACUAAAGCUCGUGUUUAGAGAUCUCAAGAGGAGAGUAACGAGAUUUUUAUACGCCGGGAGGGUGUUUUGUCACAGAACAUGGACUAAUGAGACAAGACACAAGCAAUUAGAGGAAUAAUGAAGAUGGAAAAUCAAAGCAAACAGAGGGAAUAAAAGAGAAAAGCAGAAAGAAGAACAAAAAAACAAAGAGUUAUUCAAAUUGAAUCAAAGCAAAAGAAGAUACCGAAAUAUAAGUGAAACAGAAAUACAGUACGGAGAAAUACACAGCAACUUAACAACUCAAAAACACGGAACAAACAGAACAAGAAAAACCACGAAUAAAUUUUAGGGAUCAAACAUACCUCGAAUUAAGGCUAGAAAUUGGGUUCUGCGACCUCAAAAGAGAAACCCCCAAAUUUGCAACUGACAGAGAAAAGGAAGAUGGAUUUGAGAAUUGAAAAGAUAGGGAGUGAAAGUGAGAAAUUAGGUAGUUGUGGGGGAGUGAGGAUUUUUAAAAGACAAGUAGAAAAGGUUGAGAAGAGGGAACAGAGAUGGACUCCACCACAGAACACGACAAUGACUCGGGACUCGGAGGCGGGAAAAGUAUCUCAAUUUCCGGCCACUUUGUUUCCCCCCUUUUCUAUUUGAAUUCUUUCUUAGCCCCUUUCUCGUUUUU
rnacentral:lncRNA from 1 species